CAGUCUCAUAUUUUAUGAUUUAAUUACAAGUACAUGUAUAUUGCAUAUGCAUCAUUUCAUUUUCAUAUUUUCAUGAUUUUUUGAAUGCAUAUGUAUUGGAUUCUAUAAUUAUUUUAUUGAUCUUGAAAUACAUUAGUGUGCAUUCAUUCAUGACAACUUAAUUUGUAGAAAGGUCCAAAGUUGCCUUUAGGGCAGUAAUUAUAUUUUGGUCAAAGUUAAGUUGUGUCUUUUAAUCUCAUUGGUGUUUUAGUUUGUUUCUUGUUUGUCUAUUGGUUGGUCGAUUUCCCUCCAAAAGUUCUUUGGGUUUUAGUUUAAUCUUUGUCAAGAGUUUGAAGAGAGCGGACUGUAAUAAAGGUGUACAGACGUUUUUGACAAAUUACAUCUCUUCUUGAAUGCACAUAUACCUUGCAACCAUUGAGUCAUAUUGAACUUGGUUCAACUAGUACAUGGGGCCUAUUCCCAUAGAAUGGUAUGUGUAUGUUCAUAUGCUUAGAAUAUCAGAUUAAUGUAUUAUAUGCAUUACAUAAUUAUAGCAAUGGUUUUAUAACUGAAAUGUAAAUGCAUGUAAAUUGAUAUAAAGGAGAUACUAUGUAAAUUGUAGUUUACUUAUAUGAGUUAUCUCCCUUUAUAAAGUUAAAUUACUUCAAUACAUUGAUUGUACAUCAAUACGUAAUUACUUGAAGUUCAUGUGUUUUAUGCCGUAUAUUCAUACUUGUUAUAUUGUUUUUACAGGGUCAAAUCAAUCUAUUUAUAUAACUGGUGAUGAUAAUAAAAGCCCGUUAUUCGAACCCUAA